UGAGGGGCUCACACUCACGAACUCAUGAACUGUGAGAUCAUGACCUGAACUGAAGUUGGAUGCUCAACCAACUGAGCCACCCAGGCACCCCGUGAGCCAUUCCAUUUUAAAUAACUGGCAGGGCGAGAAGGAAGAUGGCAUCAUACUAAGUGUGAGUUCAUUGAUUCAAGCAUUUUCCACACAAUAUGGACCCUAAAAGCAAGCCAAAUUCCAAAUCUGGUGCUUAAGCUUUGAAGCAGCAAUCGGUUCCAAACUAGCUGAGGGGGACUUACUGAGAGGUUGGCUUUAUUUUACGGAUGAUUUAAGACAUUUUCAUGUUUUAACUAUAUUCAAUUUUUGACCAAUACAUUGACUUUAGAAACUAACCCCUUUGUAUGAUACAAUUCUGCUGUACUUUGUGAACUUUUCUCAGUCACUUAACCUCCAAGCCUCAGUUUCCUUCUGUGUAAAACAGAGUUAGAGAAACUGACCUUAGAGAUCCCUGAGUUUCCUAACUAUGAGUACCCUCCAAGUGCUAUGUAUAGAAUUUACAAUUUACAGUAGUUUUUGCCACAUUCAUUCUCUCUUUUAAUCCUCAAAACUAUCCUAUAAGGCAGAUACCAUUACUUUUCCUAUUUUGUGACUGAGGAAGUUGAGGCUCAGAGAGGUUAUAAAAGUUAUUUAGGGUUACACACACAGGCAAUAGGUGGUGAAGGCAGGAUUAAAUCCCUGUGAGUCUCCACAAGGAGACUCCAGGGAAUCUCCAGGUACACUUCAAACAGUUCAGAGUGCAUGAAAGGGUAGAGGGAUGCCACAAAUCUGAGUGGGCAGGCAGGCUCUCUUGAAGGUCAGGUCUAAUUAAAAUGGAGGGAUGUAAUUUUACAUGUACCUGUUUUGGUUUACAUAUCUCAAUGCUCUUAGUCUUUUGUUCAUACACCUUAGGGACUUCUUCCCCAAGUCCAAAGUUAAAAUUCUGCUGCUAGGGCAUUCCACUCAUGGCUGGGGGAUCCUAUCCUGGAGCUGAAUGGGGUUACCCACAUCCCUGGGGGAAGAGGAAGGGCACUGGCCUAAAGCCUGCAGACCUGUCUCCUUUAUAGUCCUGGGUCUUGCUUAUUAUCCAGGGAUCCAGCUUGCCAGUUUGCAGCUUAGUUUUCUCAUCUGUAAUGUGGGCACCAUAACCCCUGUCCUGUGGGCUUUAGAUGUUAGGAACAUGAGAUGAAGUGACUGAUAGGGAGGUCCUUUGACAUGUGAAAUGCUCUCCCAUUGUGUGUGUGUGUGUGUGUGUGUGUGUGUGUGUGUGUGCGCGCACUGGGAAGGGUGGAAGUUAUCCAAGGAGUCCCCAGGAUUGUGGCCUCAGCUUGGCCUGGCAGAGCAGUGCCUUCCUGGGCGGAGGUCAAAGCCAGGUCCUUUUCCCACGGUCAACACCAAGGCCUGGUUCCUCUUUGUUGUUCCUGGCUCCUCUCCUAGCAACCAAAGUUUCAAAGAAGGUUCUGCAGAGCAAUGGGGACCUUGUCUCUUAGCUUCCUAAGAAGAGGGACCGGUUGGACUAAGAGUUCAGAUCCUGGGCAGCAGCAUUAGACCACCUUGGGCAAGUGCAGGGAGCAGCUCUGCCAGCAAGUCAAGUUCAUGGCCUAAGGCUUGACCUCAGCCUUAGCCUGAUAAUGGAAAACUCAGAGAUCAGACCUAGACCAGCUGUCUUGCUGGCUCUACACUUUGGUUAUAAUUCUGGCAAGAGGCUCCAAGAGACGCCCCUAACUGCCCCUUCCUCAAUCCUCACACCAUUCACACUGAGAGCUUCCUCUGCUCCCCGGACAGAGACUUCAGAGCCAGACCCAGGCCUUCCCUCUGGCAAUUAGAGGAAAGCUGUUCCAAGACUUCUACCUACAACUGGUGAGUGACUCUGGCCGCUCAGCCAUGAUCUCACGGCCUGAUUCAGCCACCUUCCCCGCCUGAAUUUUGGUUACUGACAGAAAUGGGGACCCAUGGGGGUAACAAUGUAAGUAAGCACAGUAUGCAAUUCACACCAUCUAUUAGCUAUGCAAUUGUGAUUCUUGAAAAAGUUUUUAUUUGGGGAGAUUCACCUCCAUUUCACAUUUUGUGCAUAAAGUAAAACUAUCGAUUCUGAAUAAGGCCUGACAUCUUAUUCCUAUAUUUCAAAUUCAUAUAAAAUAUAACCUUACUGUGCUUUCCCAGGAAACUCUGCUGUGUCUUCAACUUUCUCCCCAGUUGGACUAAAUUAUCCAGGUCAGGCUGGCAGUGUUCCAAUCCUAGAGAGGAAGCAUUCUGGCAACUCAGGACCUCUUCUGAAUGAUACUAUCCUAUUACAAGUCCAAGGUAGUCCUUUCUCCUUCCAUGAUUUUGCUCCCUGAAUUCUACCCUGAUCUUCUCGUCCUUCUCCUUCUUAAUUUACCACCUCCAGAGGCUUCCUUAGUCCUUAGUCAAUAAAU